GCCGACUCUCCCGGCGUGAUCUCGGGCAUCGUCGGGGCCGUGGUGGUGGCCGUGGCUGGCGCCGUGUCCAGCUUCAUCGCCUACCAGAAGAAGAAGUGGUGUUUCAAGGAGAACGCAGGUCAGGACGUCGUCAACAUGGAGAACCAGCACAGGACCAACGCAGAGCCGCCCGUCCAGCAAACCCUCCUGAAAAGAUAAGAAUCACCGCCCUGAACCCAGACGCCGGAGUUCUGAACCACCGCUGCGCCGGGCGUUGGCAGACAAUCACCCCCGUGCCUGUUCCCCGCGGAGGGCCAGUGCCCG